CAAAUUUGUGUUGCAGCAAUUGGCUGGAUCCGGCAAAGUUGGUGCUGAAGCAGGUGAAAGACAUGGACCAAUCCUGUUUAGUUUCCGGGUAAAAUUCUACCCUCCGGAUCCUUUCAGACUGAAAGAGGAGAUCAACCCGGUAUCAGAUCUACCUGCAGCUCAAGAGGGACCUUCUGCAUGGGCGGCUCUACUGCACAUCUAGUGAAGCAGCUCUUCUAGGGCUUAUAUCAUACAAGCCGAGCUAGGCGACUACAGACCCUGAAGAACAUGUAGAAAAUUAUGUGAGCGAGAUGAAGAUCCUUCUGAAACAGACACAACUGGUGGAGGAGAAGAUGAUGGAGCUGCAUCAGACACAGCUGAAGGGUCAGAGUCCUGUGACGACAGAGAGCAACUUCCUCCGCAAGGCUUGCACGCUGGACACCUAUGGCGUAGAUCCUCAUCCGGUCAAGGUUUGUGAGUUAUUCACUGGUUCGUCAUUCAUAAUCCUUGAUUGUUUUCAGCUUUUUAUUAGCUUUUACAAUGAUGGAUUCUCAGUAGACAGCGAGGAAA